rnacentral:rRNA from 1 species
CCUACGGGGGGCAGCAGUGAGGAAUAUUGGUCAAUGGCCGAGACGCUGAACCAGCCAAGUCGCGUGAGGGAAGAAUGUCCUAUGGAUUGUAAACCUCUUUUGUCAGGGCGCAAAGUCACCCACGUGUGGGUGUUGGAGAGUACCUGAAGAUACAGCAUCGGCUAACUCCGUGCCAGCAGCCGCGGUAAUACGGAGGAUGCGAGCGUUAUCCGGGUUUAUUGGGUCUAAGGGGUGCGUAGGAGGGUUAUCAAGUCAGCGGUAAAAUCGUGGGGCCAAAAUCCAUCCAGCCGUUGAAACUGAUGAUCUUGAGUGGGCGAGAGGUAUGCGGAAGGCGUGGUGUAGCGGUGAAAUGCAUAGAUAUCACGCAGAACUCCGAUUGCGAAGGCAGCAUACCGGCGCCCGACUGACGCUGAAGCACGAAAGCGUGGGUAUCGAACAGGAUUAGAUACCCCGGUAGUC